GGGUGAAGUGCCAGAGGCUGGGCCAAAGCUGAUAAUGUUACAAAGGAGCCAGAACAGGUGGCAGGGCCCAGAACAACUCAGGAGAGGAAGGAGCAUGGCUGAGGACUGAGAAGCCCCCUCCUCACCGAUGCCACCACCUUUAGCUGUUGCUGGACAUGAGGCUGAUGAUCUGCUCCAGCUUCUGGCGCAACUUAUGCUUCCGACAAGAGACAUCUUGGUCCAGAGCACAUCCAUGACUUCUGCCAGACCCGGCCAGCGUUCGUCGUUGUUGCCCAGCAGCAGCACCUGAUGGAGCUGAUCACUCCCUGUUCUUCGAACCUUGCAGGAUGUCCCCAGGUACUCUUGGGUUCACUCCCACCCUUCUGCCGGCUCCACCUCUUCCUUCCAACCUCUGAGUGUCCCCAGCCCAAAGCUCAGUGCUUAGGCUCCCUCUCCCUCCAUGCCUACUGUCAGCUUCCUGGGUUAGCUCAGCCAGGCUCAGGGCUUUAAACGCCAUCUGCUGACUCACACUUGUAUAUUUCUAACUGAGAAUACAUUCUGAAGUCCACACCUCUGUGUCCCCCUGCCUACUGACAUCUCCAAUCAUAAAUCCUGCAGGCCCUAACAGUGGCUGGCCCUGCACACCUCUUGGCCCAGGCCCAUGUUCCUUGGCCCAUCCCUUCCAAUGCUCAGGCCCCUUAACAUUUGCCCAGUGGCUUCUCUCCUGAAUCCCUCAAAUCUCAGCAUCUACAAAGAGUAUCACUUGUGGUGGCCCUGGGGCCUGUUCUGGGGAAGGACUGUGAACAAUCCAAGAGAUGGGCUCCAUGUCCCUUCUGUCCCCUCUGCUUUGUCAUUGGCUGUACUCUCAGGGCCAAGCAACUGGAGGUCUGUGGGGAUAGC